rnacentral:rRNA from 1 species
GUCUACAGCCAUGCUACCCUGAACAAGCCCGAUCUCAUCUGAUCUCGGAAGCUAAGCAGGGUCGGGCCUGGUUAGUACUUGGAUGGGAGAUCAGGUGCUGUAGGCG